AGCGAACGCUGGCGGCAGGCCUAACACAUGCAAGUCGAACGAACUCUUCGGAGUUUGUGGCGGACGGGUGUGUAACACGUGGGAACGUGCCUUUAGGUUCGGAAUAACUCAGGGAAACUUGUGCUAAUACCGAAUGUGCCCUUCGGGGGAAAGAUUUAUCGCCUUUGGAGCGGCCCGCGUCUGAUUAGCUAGUUGGUUAGGUAAAGGCUCACAAAGGCGACGAUCAGUAGCUGGUAUGAGAGGAUGAUCAGCCACAUUGGGACUGAGACACGGCCCAAAAUCGUACGGGAGGGAGCAGAGGGGAAUCAAGCGCAAUGGGGGAAAGGCUGAAGAAGCCAUGGCGGGAGAAUGAUGAAGGUGGUAGGAUAGUAAAAUUGUUUAAACGGGGAAGAUAAUGACGGUACCCGGAGAAGAAGCCACGGCUAACUACGUG
rnacentral:rRNA from 1 species